CUCUGCGGUUCUAGAAGUUGUUUAUGAGGUCGAUGGGAUGGCUGGAUGGCGGGGAGCUAGAUGGGAUUCCGCACCAAGGAGGCGCACCUUAAGUGGGGCUAAGCAGCUGCAAGAAGUCGGUCUCCGGGAGUGCUGCGGGGAGCGGGAGUACUCCUGUGCGCGGAUGUCCUUCCACCUCUGCCCUGCCCUUGGGACGGGGGCACGAUCGCGAGCUCGGAAUGUCCCGCGCUUCGCAGAACCGCUCUGCGGUGCUGCGCUUCAGCGUCCCUUGCCCCACUGCGUACCCACCUUGGGCAGCGUGAGGGUAAUUCCGAGGGCCCCAGCGGCUGCGCUUCCGGCCUGGGCGAUGCGCUCUUUUUUUCGGUAGAGCGCAGCUGGCUCUGCCUUCGGGAAGGAGAGGCAGGGAGACGGAUCACCUGUGCCUAUUGGGUUCCCUGAGAAACUGCAGUGAAACUGAGCUGGGGCUGCCCCUGCUCUUCUCUUCCUUCAACGGGCACGUCCGUUGCUUGCGGGGCUGUACGGCUUUUGACUGGAAUUGGAGAGAGGAGGUCCUUCGAGAGGUCUGGCUUGCCACACUCUGCUCCCAACACCUGGCCACAACCGCGCGGGUCUGGGCCAGUUCAGAAUUGGAGAAGUCAGUCUGGCUUUCUAAUGUGAUCUGGGGAUAAGAGUUGACAGCGUGUCCUCAAGUCGUAGGAUCUCAGGGCUGCCCUAUGUGUCCCCAUGGUCCGACUGAAGCUCUAGCUAAAAGAUUACAAGUGUUGGGUGUGGCGAGAUCUGAGAUCCAGGGGCAGGCCAUUAGAGCUCAGGGAUUUUUCCACCUGUUCAUUAAACGCUGCCCUGUAUCCACACCCGCUGGGGAGCCUCUGCUCUGUCUGUCGUUGAGCUACCCUCUCAAAAAUCCCACCCUAUUCCCUACCUACUAGGCAGCGAUCCAGCAGGGAUAUUUCUGAAAGGGACCUGGGAGGCUCUUAAUCCUUUGAAGCUUUGGGAAAGGCCCCGGUCUUCACAGGUGUGAGUUGAAGGGAAGAGAAAGCAAGGGCCACGGAACUCGUCCACCCUGGGACCCUAAGAAGCCGUUCUGUACAUUUUUGCCCCUUAACAACCCCAUACUGUACAUUUUAAAAAUAUGUAUAAUGAACACUCAGGACUUAUGCUAAGUGAAAUAGGCCAAUCACAAAAAGGCAAACACCAUGAUUCCACUCUUUAAAAAGUUUCUAAAUUAAAAAAAAUAAAACCCUAAGAAAUUUAAACAAAAAUACUAGAAAGGGGUGAGGGUGGGAUGGAGAAUUUGUGUUUAAUGGGUAUAAAGUCUUGAGUUUGGCACAAUGAAAAAAGUCCAGACAAUGAACAAUGUGAACACUUUUUUUUUUUUUUUUUUGGUCUUGUGUCUUUUUAGGGCCGCACCUGUGGGAUAUGGAGGUUCCCAGGCUAGGGGUUGAAUCAGAGCUCUAGCUGCCGGCCUACACCACAGCCAUAGCAAUGCUGGAUCCUUAACCCACUGAGUAGGGCCAGGGAUCAAACCCAUAUCCUCAUGGAUACUAAGGUUCGUUAGCCACUGAGCCACAACAGGAACUCCGAACAAUGGGAAACAUUUUAACAAUACUGAACUGUAUUGUGAAAAAUGGUCAAGGUGGUAAAUUUAAUUGAUGCAUUUUUUACCAUAAUACAAAAAUAAAUAUCAAGAAAAAAUAAAACAAUUUACAUAAAAAGACUAUUUUGGUAUAAGUUUGUGUCACCACCAAAAUACAAAAUAAACGUGUUUUUCCCUUGCAUCCUGUAAGAGAAUGGAGAUACUUUCCAGGAGCCUUUGGAAGGUGCUGGAAAGCAGAAUAGGGGUGGGAAAGAAAAACAAACAACAGCAGAGAACUGGGGAACCAGGCACAUUUUCUCAUUUUCCUAGAGUUGCUGAGCCCUGUGCCCACAAACUUUGAAAUCACAUAUUAGGCCUGACCGUCAAGGGAUUAAAACAAAACUUAUAGAUCCUCUAGGGAGCUUUUUUUUUGGGGGGGUGAUGGUAGGUUUCAGGAAAGAGUUGAUUUUGUACUGGAAUUCUCCAGCCAGCCAAUCCUAAUGGACACAUUGACUUGUCUUAAUGCAGAAUUCAAAUUGUUGAGACACAGUUCGCCAUUGAUGAGCAAUAAGCUUACUCACCUCUCUUGGGACUGCAGGGGGAGAAGAAAUAGGUGCUUUGGCAGCUUGCAGGUGCUCAUGAGCUGCUAGAGCAAGAAAAAUACCUCUGAGUUCUUGACUGUGCUUGCAGGUCACAAAGCAACACCUCCAACUCAAAGAGAAUGUUUCAGCAGGGUUGAGCUUAUGAAAUUAGCUUCUUAAAUG
rnacentral:lncRNA from 1 species